AUCUGGGACAAGCCCUGGAAACGGGGUCUAAUACCGGAUACUGACCGGCCUGGGCAUCCAGGCGGGUCGAAAGCUCCGGCGGUGAAGGAUGAGCCCGCGGCCUAUCAGCUUGUUGGUGAGGUAACGGCUCACCAAGGCGACGACGGGUAGCCGGCCUGAGAGGGCGACCGGCCACACUGGGACUGAGACACGGCCCAGACUCCUACGGGAGGCAGCAGUGGGGAAUAUUGCACAAUGGGCGAAAGCCUGAUGCAGCGACGCCGCGUGAGGGAUGACGGCCUUCGGGUUGUAAACCUCUUUCAGCAGGGAAGAAGCGAAAGUGACGGUACCUGCAGAAGAAGCGCCGGCUAACUACGUGCCAGCAGCCGCGGUAAUACGUAGGGCGCAAGCGUUGUCCGGAAUUAUUGGGCGUAAAGAGCUCGUAGGCGGCUUGUCACGUCGGUUGUGAAAGCCCGGGGCUUAACCCCGGGUCUGCAGUCGAUACGGGCAGGCUAGAGUUCGGUAGGGGAGAUCGGAAUUCCUGGUGUAGCGGUGAAAUGCGCAGAUAUCAGGAGGAACACCGGUGGCGAAGGCGGAUCUCUGGGCCGAUACUGACGCUGAGGAGCGAAAGCGUGGGGAGCG
rnacentral:rRNA from 1 species